rnacentral:rRNA from 1 species
GACGAACGCUGGCGGCGUGCUUAACACAUGCAAGUCGAACGGAGUGGCGAACGGGUGAGUAACACGUGGGUGAUCUGCCUUGCACUUCGGGAUAAGCUUGGGAAACUGGGUCUAAUACCGGAUAGUGCAAGAUGAGCUCGCGGCCUAUCAGCUUGUUGGUGGGGUAAUGGCCUACCAAGGCGUCGACGGGUAGCCGGCCUGAGAGGGGGUACGGCGACAAUGCGACUGAGGUACGGACCAGACGCCAACGGGGGGCAGCAGUGGGGAAUAUUGCACAAUGGGCGGAAGCCUGAUGCAGCGACGCCGGGGGGGGGAUGAAGUUUUUCGGGUUGUAAACUCCUUUCGACAGGGACGCGGUACCUGUAUAAGAAGCACCGGCUAACUACGUGCCAGCAGCCGCGGUAAUUC